rnacentral:rRNA from 1 species
CCUACGGGGGGCUGCAGUGAGGAAUAUUGGUCAAUGGGCGGGAGCCUGAACCAGCCAUGCCGCGUGAAGGCGAGUGCCCUACGGGCGUUAAACUUCUUUUGUGCGGGAGCAAUAAGGGCCACGCGUGGCCCGAUGAGAGUACCGCACGAAUAAGCAUCGGCUAACUCCGUGCCAGCAGCCGCGGUAAUACGGGGGAUGCGAGCGUUAUCCGGAUUUAUUGGGUUUAAAGGGUGCGUAGGCGGCGCUUCAGGUCAGCGGUCAAAGCCCGGGGCUCAACCCCGGCCCGCCGUUGAAACUGGCAGUCUCGAGUUGGAGAGAAGUAUGCGGAAUGCGCGGUGUAGCGGUGAAAUGCAUAGAUAUCGCGCAGAACUCCGAUUGCGAAGGCAGCAUGCCGGCUCCACACUGACGCUGAGGCACGAAAGCGUGGGUAUCGAACAGGAUUAGAUACCCGAGUAGUC